rnacentral:pre_miRNA from 1 species
ACAACAUUCGGACCGUCGGUCUACCGAACAAUAUCACGCGCUCGGUGGAAGAUCUUUCAUAUGAUAU